GUGGCACAUUUAAAAAUUGCAGGACUGAUUAAAAAGCUGUUUUACUGGCAGGUGUUUGCAGGUUCUGCAUUAUUUUUCACUGGUCUGGGUGAGUACCAGCCUGGUACUAGCAGGUCUCUCCUCAAUUUCAACUGAAGUAUUGGCAUUUGAAUGCUCCUCUGAAACCCUCUGUGGCUCUGGAACCAGAAAAAGCACAAGAGCAGAGACGACACCAGAGCUUAAUCAUUUCUGGAACCUUAAAGGUUAGUCAGAGUUUGUUCACAAGAAGCAAGUCUAGCUCAUGAUCCUCUUAGAUUUCCCAAGAGAGGCUUCGUCUCAUGGACUGCGAUUGCGCCUGCCCGCCUCAGUUCUGCAGCAGCUUGGAAUCUUGACAAGUCCCGGGGAAAAUGACAGGUUAGCUGCUACGAAGCACCGUUGCUGUGGUCCUUUUAACUGAGACGGAGCCGUGCAGAUAAGGAUUACCCAGGCCAGGAGAGAGAGAUAACAAUUCUCAAUCUGUAACCAUUUACCACAAGCAUAUCCGUGUGUAUCAUAAAACUUUGCUAUGUGCUCCAUUUUUCAUUCAAAAUGUGUUUAAUGUUUGCUUAAUUCUUUAUGCACUGCAACAAUUUAUAAAUGAAUUUGAAGACAUUAUGUCUUCAGACUCAUUCAGUUUGAGGAAGAAUAAAUUAAGUUGCAUGGGAGAAGAUUGUUUUUUGUCCUUGGUGUGUAUAAUGUGAAAAAAUGUAAUAAACAAAACCACAGUUGCAU